UCCCAAAGUCUUCUAUGGAUGUUGAAGUUCAGCCUCACAUCAAAAGGCAACAGACUCACGUCCAGAUUGGGGUGAA
rnacentral:pre_miRNA from 1 species